rnacentral:rRNA from 1 species
GCCGUUAAACACCCAACUUUCUGAAAUGUUGACCUCGGA